GGCGGUGUAGCUCAGCUGGUAGAGCAGGGGAAUCAUAAUCCCUGUGUCGGGGGUUCGAGUCCCUCCGCCGCCACCA
rnacentral:tRNA from 1 species